CUUGUCUAUUUAUGCAACCACUGGGGUGUUCUGUGGGAACACACACGGUUGGCAAUAAUUACCAAGGGCAUUCUUCGGGAAUGCACGCAACUUUUAUGCAUGACAAGCUAUGCAACUAUGUUUUCUAUGACGGACGCACACGUUGUCGGCAAACCUCGAUGCAUCCGGAGGGAAUGCAUGUAAAUUUCGCGGUACAAUGCAGCACAGUACCGGGAGCUUCCAUUCAAUAGUGUUUCUUUUACAGUUAAGGAGAUUGAAGGUGAAGUUGAAAGUGAAAAUGAGAAUGAUCAUCCUGAAACAGAAUUCCUUGAGGAUCUUAUCCUUGACGAGGAUUACAACAAAAAGAAGGAAUUAGGGGAUGAAGUACUGAAUAUACUAGGAGUGGCUCCCGCUCCAGCCCCUAAGAAUGCACUUCUGCUCAAACAAAUUGCUGAGAGAUGGUGCGAGAUCCUGGAGAAAGGACUGAAAAAAGAUGAAAAAGAAACAGUUACAAAAGACAAUCCAGCCUUCCAGAAUGUACUCAAGAUGUGUGCUCAAAAACAUAAUAAGGAAGUUGCCGCUGCUCUAAAUGACAGGGCUAAGAGAAGGGAUCAAGUAAUUGAAACCCGACAGAAACAAAUGUCCACAGUCUUGGCCUGUGUAGGCCAUGCUGUAUAGAUGUGUAUUGGAGAUCAUUAACAACUAAAACUGUAUUAAGAAACUGAAUGAAGCGGGUUAGCAGCUAAGUGAUUAUAUAUGUUCCGGAAACCAAUUGAUGUAGAAACUUGGCACUCUCAACAAUAAAAAGUAUCAAUCUAAGGACUCAUUACUUGAAACUGAGAAUGGAGAUUUUGUUUGAUAAUAAUCUGAUUGAAAAAAUAAAAACUGCAAGGGCAGUUCAAUAAUCAUGAAAGGAAUUAAAGGUGACAGUGAAUGAGAAAAAGAAGAACUUCAUAAGGUGACCUGAAAUCAGUGCUUAGAACGAGAACAAUUGUGCUUCAAACUGGUGGGGCCCUCCUCGGAUGUGAUCACAGAGGUUCCAGAGGUCAGGCGGGCCGACAUGCAAUCGUCAAAACCAGCAAGGAGACGAGGGUAAAAAUAAUGCUAAGGUAGGCAGAAUCAGUUUUUAUUCUUAACAAUUGGAAGCAAAUCACUAGUGAUCCUGUGAUAUUAUAUUGUGUCCAGGGUUAUAAAUAAUUACCUCAACAGGGGUCUCUACCCCUAAACAAUAAUUUGCUAUUGGUAGACCAACGGCAGAUUAAAUUAAAAUUUAAAUUGUUACUCAGUACGAAUGCCAUUGAAACAUGAUGGUUACAAGUGAUCGAUUCUGUUCUCCAGUCUUUGUUAUAAGAAACCAAAUGGUACCUAUGUUUCAUUUUGAAUUUGAAAAACUUAACACUUGUGAAUACUGAACAUUUUAAACUAGAGGAUUAUCGCACAGUAUGUAAGCUUAUACAGAAUAAUUAUUACCUAUUUAGUAACUUUAGAUCACAAAGAUGCAUAUUACCUGACUAAUAUAAAUGACUGUUGUUAAAAAGUAUUUAAGGUAAAGUAUUUAUUUAUUUUUAUGAAGGAAAACAUUACUAAGUAAAUGUUGUUGGACUUUAGAAAAUUACAGCAAAUUACAGCUGCUCUAUGAGAGAAAAGUUGCAUUUCAAUUAUUUAUAAUUGACAAUUAUCCGGGUAUUGGUAAAGACUAUAUUAUGUUUUAAUAAUAUGAACAUGAUUUUAGAUCUUAUCCACAUAAAGUUUUAUUGUUAACAAAGAAAAGUGUGAUCUGAUUCUCAAACAGUAACGUUAACUUCAGUAAGGUUUCUUUAAUACAGUACAAGUGACAUUAAUGUAUAUUAUCUAACUAAAAGAAAGUAAAUUCUUUAAAUUGAUUAAAGAGUUAUAGUCAAAGGUGAUGUUCACAAUAAGUUCAUGUGCCAAGUAAGCUUGAAGCUAUAUGUCUAGCCAUAAAAUAUGGUAUUUUAUACACCAAAUAAUUAACUAAAAUUUCUUGCAGUUAAAAAGUAUAAUGAUAAAAAUGAAUACUUUCUUUUCACAAUCAAUGUAGAGAGGACUUGACAUGGCGGAGCAAUAGUGUAAAUGAAUCUAAGAAUACUAUUAGAAAAAAUACUUAAAUAUCCGAGAUAUUUAGUGAUGCUUCUAUGACAGUAUGGGGAGCUUCAUGUGGUACAAGUCUUACAGGCGUAGUAUGGUCAGAGGACAAACUAGGCUCUCAUAUAAAUGCUCUUGAGUUAAAAGCUGCCUGUCUGCUUUGCAUCAAAGUUAACAAAAUACCAAAUACUUCUUAGAAUAGACAAUGUUACUGCUAUCCAUAUGUAUAAACAGACUAGGUGGUAUUCAAUAUCUACAUUUACAUAGCCUUGCAAAACAAAUAUGGCAAUGGUGUGAAUUAAGAGAUAUUUAUAAUCAGUUUAUGUACAUAAACACCAAAAUUAAUGUAAUUGCAGUUUUUUGAAUCAAGGAAACCACCAGGUAACAUAGAGUGGGAAAUUAAUUACAUUUUGAACAAAUAACUUCAACCUUAGGAACACCAUCCAUAGAUCUCUUCUUCUUCUUCUUUUAUUUUGGCGACGGCUUGGUUUUGAGAACCAUGAUCUUCGCAAUAAAGACUAACAAGAAAUGUCAUUGUUUUGUAUCACCGCGUCCUGACCUGGAUGCAUUUGCAAUUGAUGCAUUUACACUUUGUUGAUAUCAACUGAAGUUUCAUAUUAAUUUCCAACAUGAUCCUUAAAACCGUGGAAAAAAUAGUUUUCAGAUAAAGGGCAUAGGGGUAGUUCCAUAUUGGAACACCAUAUUAUGUUCAUGAGAUAGCUAGUUCACAAACCAUCAAUUUUGAAACUUACUAAAGAUUUACUUAUAUUACAAAAUUCUAAAGAACCACACCCUGUGCACAAGAACCUAGACUGAUGGCAGGAGUAUUAUCAGGCAGGCCUUCAUAAAAUCUGGAAUCAGUGAGAUUAUGAGAUCCGAGAUCAUGUCAGUGUCUAUAUCUGUUAAUACAUUAAAACAAUACCAACCAUGUAUUGUAGCAUGGACUAAGUAUGCACAAGAAUUAUGGCUA